rnacentral:rRNA from 1 species
AUACGGAGGGUGCAAGCGUUACUCGGAAUCACUGGGCGUAAAGCGCGCGCAGGCGGCUUGAUAAGUUGGAUGUGAAAGCCUACGGCUCAACCGUAGAACUGCAUCCAAAACUAUUAGACUAGAGUGUGGGAGAGGAAGAUGGAAUUAGUUGUGUAGGGGUAAAAUCCGUAGAGAUAACUAGGAAUACCAAAAGCGAAGGCAAUCUUCUGGAACACUACUGACGCUGAGGCGCGAAAGCGUGGGGAGCAAACAGGAUUAGAAACCCGAGUAGUCC